rnacentral:rRNA from 1 species
UUGAAAAGAACUUUGAAGAGAGAGUUCAAGAGUACGUGAAACCGUUCAGGGGUAAACCUGAGAAACCCGAAAGAUCGAACGGGGAGAUUCAUCGUCAGCGGAGUUGGCUUCGCCGCGGCUCGUGAUGCCGGGACCCCGUGUCCACGGCACUCGGCCGCGGUGUUACGUCCGACGACGCCGGCGUGCAAUUUUCCCAUAGUAGGACGUCGCGACCCGUUGAGUGUCGGUCUACGGCCCGGGUGGCUGUCUGUCUCGGCGUUCGCGUCGGGGCAGACCCCCGGUUGCCCGUCCGGCUGCCCGGCGGUACACGCACGGUAUUGAGCCGCACUUGAAUGCGUCGGGCCCGCCGCAAGCGCGGUCAGCGAUUCCCGGUGUUCGGACCUAGCGCCGUCCCCGGGCCUGACCAGCUGUUUGCAGGCGGUGUCCUCUGACUGGCUCAUUCGAACUUUUGACAAUACCGGUCGGCGACGCUAUUGCGUUGGGUACUUUCAGGACCCGUCUUGAAACACGGACCAAGGAGUCUAACAUGUGCGCGAGUCAUUGGGAACACGCAAACCUAAAGGCGAAAUGAAAGUGAAGGUCAGCCCUAGCGCUGGCCGAGGGAGGAUGGGCCGCGUCACGAUGCGGCCCCGCACUCCCGGGGCGUCUCGUUCUCAUUGCGAGAAGAGGCGCACCCAGAGCGUACACGUUGGGACCCGAAAGAUGGUGAACUGUGCCUGGUCAGGACGAAGUCAGGGGAAACCCUGAUGGAGGUCCGUAGCGAUUCUGACGUGCAAAUCGAUCGUCGGAACUGGGUAUAGGGGCGAAAGACUAAUCGAACCAUCUAGUAGCUGGUUCCCUCCGAAGUUUCCCUCAGGAUAGCUGGCACUCGCGUACAAAACGUACACGAGUCUCAUCCGGUAA